ACUUUCAGUGCAUCUGCGCUGCAUAAAACUCAGCUCACAGCCUCAACGUCCUCCCUCCAACAGUAAACAACUGUCAGGGUCUAACUUCAGCACAGUGGGGUUCUGUAGAUUGGAAAAUCUUCACUGAUUGGAUUUAUGUUUCUCCUGUUUUUAAUGAAAUGCUGUUUUUUCUCCUCUCUCAGCACCAGGGGAAUCUCCAGGCUUCUGAUUCUGAUUCCUGCUGCGACAAACCACAUCUGACCCCGGAGAAGGGAGGCAGGGGUCAAACAUGACAGGGGAUUUGAAGGGGCGGAUCAGGACUGGAAGACUUGGGCCAGCCGGGGAAUAAUCCUCCACAAGAAACCACUCCUGGAGCGCACUUGAAGUGUCCUUGAGCUCUUACUGAGGAUGAUUGCAUGUGCAGCUCAACUCAUCAUGAAGCCAUCAGAGAACAUCUACAUCCUGAGUGGCAGCCUCAGUAUUAUGUAAGCACUAAGGGGCUUGAGGAGGAAGGAUUCGUUCUGAUCCUCCAGCUCAAACGGUUCAGGUUCACCACGACCUUCAGGCUGGAGAAGGUAAACACCUCUAUUGAACUAACAAGGGAGCUUGUGGUGAACCCAGAAAACUCCCUCACUGCACAGGACUCAGGAAGAUGGAAAGCGAUGCGGGUGUUGUGACGGCUGCGCCAGCAGUUAAACCACAUGAAUGUUGGAGAAUGUUGUCACAUGAACAUGAUUUAAAAACACUGUUUGUGUUCUCCCUGUAAUGUUUCUAUAUGUGUUGAUCUGUUAUCUGGUCCAUUGACAUGAUAACGUCACACAGCUGAACAUCCAUGAUGCCAAUCUCCCGUUCCACCACAUCCCAAAGGCUCUAUUGAAUUUAGAUCUGGUGACUGUGGAGGCCGUUGGAGUACAAUGAACUCAUUGUCAUGUCCAAGAAACCAGUCUGAGAUGAUUUGAGCUUUGUGACGUGGAGCAUUAUCAUGUUGGAAGUAGCAUCAGAUGAUGGUCCACUGUGGUCAUGAAGGGAUGGACAUGGUUAGCAACAAUCUGAAUGUCAAGGCUGAAAUGGAGGCUCAUCAGACCAGGCAACGUUUUUAAAAUCUUCUAUUGUCCAAUUUUGGUGAGCCUGUGUGAAUUGUAGCCUCAGUUUCCUGUUCUUAGCUGACAGAAGUGACACCUGGUGUGGUCUUCUGCUGCUGUAGUCCAUCUUCUUCAAGGUUGGACGUGUUGUGGUUCAGAGAUGGUGUUCUGCAUUCCUUGGUUGUAACCAGUGGUUAUUUGAGUUCCUGUUGUCUUUCUACCAUCUCCAACCAGUCUGUCCAUUCUCCUCUGACCUCUCAUAUCAACAAGGCAUUUUCAUCCACAAAAUUGCCGCUCACUGGAUGUUUUCUCUUUUUUGACCGCUCCCUGUAAACCCUACAGGUGGUUGUGUGUGAAAAUCCCAGUAGAUCAGCAGUUUGUGAAAUACUACACCAACAACCAGAAUACACCAACAACUAUGCCACAUUCAAAGUCACUUAAAUCCUCCUUUUUCCCCGUUCUGAUGCUCAGUUUGAACUCCAGCAAGUUGUCUUGACCACAUCUACAUGAAUAAAUGCAUUGAGUUGCAGCCAUGUGAUUGACUGAUUAACUAUUUGUGUUAACAGGCAAUUGAACAGGUGUACCUAAUAAAGUGACCGGUGAGUGUAUGUACACACAAGAAUGCACACACAAACAAAAACAAAAACACAUACUCUGUAAAGUCUACUUAUGUGAAGUGUGAAACCGUUGGCGAAAUUUUACACACUUUAAGACUAAAAGAGGGUUAGUGAGAAUUAGCUAACAGUGAUUGGGUUAUGUAAGAUCAAAAGUCCAGUAAAGAGGAAGUAAACAUAGAAAAACACACACUCUAACAAAGUGAACUUCAUUUGUGGAGCUGGACUUUAUAUCCAGAACAUCCAGAGUCCUAAAACCUAAUGAGAAUCAUAUGUGUAACUGUGGUAAUUUAAAGAAGGUUUCAGCGUACAGUAGCAAAUUCCUGUCAUUCACUCGUUAUUAGAACAGUUUUAAAACUCCUUUCUUCUUCUCCAGUUUCACACAUUACACUGGGCUGAAUGGAUAAUCCGUUAAAAAUGUCUCGUAGCUUUUACCAGGCAGCCAGAACCUUUGUGUUUGCUGGAUGAGAAACUCAGAAUUAAUCCUCAUUACACAAUAGAGGACAAGCUGUUUGGUUGUUUGGUGAGUUUAAAUACUACAACAUGUGUGAGCAUUUGUCAUGUGAAGGCCCUCUACGGGGCUUUAAAUGCACCGCUUUCAUGUAACGCUGCUCAAAACAGUUCAGCUGUGUUUGAAGUUCUGAGGUCAAAAGGAAAAUGUUACCUAAAGGACUAAGCUAAUGCUACCAUCAGUCCAAAACGACACAUGAACAGAUCCACUCCAACUUUUAGAUAGACAGAUAAUAUGGUGCUGAUAUUUAAGAUGGCAUAAUAACUAACAUUAAUAAAACACACAUUUUAAAUCUUGUAAGACAACAUAGAAUCUAUAGUAAUGCAUUGAAGAAAACUCUGAUCAAGUGAGAAUUUCUUAUGAAAUUCUCGCUUGGCCAGUAACAUGACAUUAACACACAUUUGCUAAUGGUUUUACAAGUGAAAACCCCCAUCUGGUUGUUGAUUAAACCCCUAAUACUCAUCUCCGUGUAUCAGUUACAUAUUUAGAAGUUUAUUUUUACAGACUGUAUAUAAAUGAUGGACAGAGACUCCAUGCCUUAAACCUGCAUUUUGUCUAACAGCUAGCAGGUGGCGACUCCUCUGGUGCUAAAACAAGUCAUACUGUACAGACUUCUAUGAAAAAUAUGAAAAAAAAAAUGACUCUACUUUUCACUAGAUUAGAUCCUAAUGAGUUUAUGGUCUCAAUCACAAGGUUCAAGUCUCCUUCAAGAUGGCAUGAUGUUCAUUUAGUAAAUUAUGGUCCCAUUUAGGACAAAAUAGACGAUGGAGUAGGAUAUUCUUUAGGCCGGGUCUACUUUGUGAUUAAUGGUACAUAAUGUCCUCAGGUUCUCCAGUCAGAUAUACUGCUCAAUCCAUAUGUCCACGUUAAAAAGACUGAGAUAUCAAUGGCCAAAUUCCAAAAUAGUGCACAGACCAAUGGAUGAUGUCAUGGUGUCCAUCUCCAGAAGUUUACAACAAUCAGCUUCCUUACAUCUGAGAAGUUGUUGGACAUCUCACAUCUAACAACUUCACUGGCUCCCAAUCACACACCGCAUCAUCUGUAAAACCAUGCUGCUAACCUUCAAGGUCCUCCAUAACCUCACUGAACUCCUCCACAUAAACACACCCAGCUGGACUCUCAGAUCAUCUUCCUCCCUCAACCUCACCAUCCCUCCUGCCCUUACGACCACCAUGGGCUCCAGAGCCUUCAGCUGCUCUGCAGUCCGCCUCUGAAACUCUCUCCCACCUGACAUCCGAAACAUUGACACACUGGACAUGUUCAUAUCCCAUCUCAGAAGCCACUUGUUCAAACAAACCUACUCACUCUGACUUCCAUUCCUCUUUUUUUCCGUUAUUUAAAAUGGCUAAAUGUCCUUCUUUUUCCUUCCUCUUAAGUUUUGUGUUGUUAAUGUGAAUGCGUUUUAACUUUGUACAGUAUCCUUGGGUGUUUUAAAUCAAAUGUAUUAUUAUUAUUGUUAUCUGUUACUAUAUGAAACCCAGAAAGUCUGUGUGUGUAAUUUUGAGGCUGUCAUUGGUUCACUGCAGUUCAAGGUGGAAGUGUUCAGUUUAUUUCGCUAAUGAUAAUUCUAUCACAUAAAAAACACCAUAUGGGCAUGUAAACAAGAUAAAACAACUUGACGUUCCCUUGAGGGGAUCCUUAAACGCAGUCCUACAUUAAUUUAUAAGUUGUAUGGAAAACUUAGACACUCGUUUCCACUGCGCCUGUGUAAUACUGAUGCUCCAACGGAUAAUAUUUCAACAAAGAUGAAACAUGGUUGAAUGUAACUCUUCACUUUUAUCGUUGCUGAAUUAUUUUUAGGAAAGAUAAUACAAUAUAUUUGUCUCCCCAUGAGGACAGUUUCAGUGGCAAUACGGAUUACGUUUGUACAUUUCUGAGGACUGGUAGAGAAAACCUGGAAACUGCGCUUGCUUGCAAUGAGUCAAUGAAUCCUCUAGAGGGCAAUAUGUGACUAAAGCCUCCAAUCAGUGGUUCCCACACUGGCCUCUGGCUUCAUUACAUGUGUGCUUGUUGGUACUGUGUUAUGUAUUCUUUUUGUUUAGGAUUAUACAAUUUCAAAUUAUAUACAUUAAU